UACGUAGGGUGCGAGCGUUAAUCGGAAUUACUGGGCGUAAAGCGUGCGCAGGCGGUUCGUUGUGUCGGCGGUGAAAGCCCCGGGCUUAACCUGGGAACGGCCGUUGAAACUGGCGAACUGGAGUGUGGCAGAGGGGGGUGGAAUUCCGCGUGUAGCAGUGAAAUGCGUUGAGAUGCGGAGGAACACCGAUGGCGAAGGCAGCCCCCUGGGCUAACACUGACGCUCAGGCACGAAAGCGUGGGGAGCAAACAGG
rnacentral:rRNA from 1 species